AACGAACGCUGGUGGUAUGCUUAACACAUGCAAGUCGAACGGGCAUAGCAAUAUGUCAGUGGCAAACGGGUGAGGAAUAUAUAGGAAUCUACCUAGCGGUAAGGAAUAACUUUGGGAAACCAAAGCUAAUGCCAUAUAUUACCGAUUUAUCGGGAAAGAUUUAUCGCUGUUAGAUGAGCCUGUAUCGGAUUAGCUAGUUGGUAGGGUAAGAGCCUACCAAGGCAAUGAUCCGUAGCUGGUCUGGAAGGAUGAUCAGCCACAUUGGGAAUGCGAAACGGGCCAAACUCCUACGGGAGGCAGCAGUGGGGAAUAUUGGACAAUGGACGCAAGUCUGAUCCAGCAAUACCACGUGAGUGAUGAAGGCCUUCGGGUUGUAAAACUCUUUUAGUAGGGAAGAUAAUGACGGUACCUACAGAAAAAGCACCGGCUAACUUCGUGCCAGCCGCCGCGGUAA
rnacentral:rRNA from 1 species